GCUUUUAUAGUUUAACGGUAAAACACCUCACUGUUAAUGAGAACAUAUAGGUUCGAUUCCUAUUAGAGGCU
rnacentral:tRNA from 1 species